GGCUGGGGCUGGAGAGGGGGAGGUGACCAGCUCUGACGACGCCCAACAGGGCAGGGCCAAAGACUUGACCGACACCUUCUGGGAGCUGCAGAAGUGGGUGGAGCUAACUGACUCGAAGGUGUUGACGUUCUCCUACAAACAUGCACUAGUGAAUAAGAUGUACGGCAGAGCCCUGAAGUACGCCUCCAAGAUCGCAGAAGACAAACCCAGUAAAGACAACUUGAAGAACUGCAUCCAGCUAAUGCGGUCCUUGGGCUGGAUGCACUGUGCCGCUUUCACAGAGAACUGGCUGCCCAUCAUGUAUCCUGCCGACUACACUCCCUUCUAGACUCACGGUUACACACACACACACACACACACACACACACAGAGUCAUGGAUUGACCUCACAAACAUAAACACACAUCUGAAAACAGUCAGCGUUUUUUUUUACCAAGUCGGACUGAAUGCCUCAACAAUCUGCCCUCUCUCUCUCUCUCUCUCAACGUGGAUGAUUUCAACCCAGCCACGUUUCAGAUCUUUCUUGUGAAACCCUCCACUUGUUGCUCAGUUGUAGAUAGAAAUGUGAUGUACAGAACGGCUUGGAUUGUUUGUUUCUGGAAUGUUUUUUGAUCUUUUUUUUACGUUACAUUUCUAUUAUUAUUUUUUCAACGUUGUGACUGUUUCACCCUCCUGAAUGAACCCCGGUUUGUAGAAAUGUAUAUUCAUGCAUCAUAAUACACAUUAUAAAGAGGCAAUAUUACUUCUCAUGCUAUUGUUCUCCCUGAUGUAUUUUAAAUGGACGGAUGUCUUUUUAGAGUAAAACCUGUUUUUGGUUUGGAAGCUGAUCAUUUGACUUCAGUUGGGGCGACAGGCAGGUAGCUUUAGUGGUUAAGAGCGUUGUGCCCCAGUAACCGAAAGGUCGCUGGUUCUAAUCCCCCCGAGCCGACUAGGUGAAAAG